rnacentral:rRNA from 1 species
AUUGAACGCUGGCGGCAUGCUUUACACAUGCAAGUCGAACGGUAACAGGCCGCAAGGUGCUGACGAGUGGCGAACGGGUGAGUAAUGCAUCGGAACGUGCCCAGUCGUGGGGGAUAACGCAGCGAAAGCUGCGCUAAUACCGCAUACGAUCUAUGGAUGAAAGCGGGGGACCGUAAGGCCUCGCGCGAUUGGAGCGGCCGAUGUCAGGUUAGGUAGUUGGUGGGGUAAAGGCUCACCAAGCCAACGAUCUGUAGCUGGUCUGAGAGGACGAACAGCCACACUGGGACUGAGACACGGCCCAGACUCCUACGGGAGGCAGCAGUGGGGAAUUUUGGACAAUGGGCGCAAGCCUGAUCCAGCAAUGCCGCGUGCAGGAAGAAGGCCUUCGGGUUGUAAACUGCUUUUGUACGGAACGAAACGGUCCUGGUUAAUACCUGGGGCUAAUGACGGUACCGUAAGAAUAAGCACCGGCUAACUACGUGCCAGCCGCCGCGGUAAUAC